AUUAAGUCUAUUUUUUAGUUUUUAGAUACAGUAUUUUGACUUUUUGUCUUAUUUGAAACUUUUUGCGAUUAAUAUUUUUAUUGAUACUGGAUGGUAAAAUAUGAAUAAUACUUUAUGCAUUACUAGUUUUUUUAAGUUUUUGUACAAAAUUUUCAAAUAAGACGAAUGGUCAAACGGUUAGACACAGAAAUC
rnacentral:pre_miRNA from 1 species